GAUGAACGCUGACAGAAUGCUUAACACAUGCAAGUCAUUGGCGAAGCUGCGCUUGCGCAGUCUAGCCAAGGCGGACGGGUGAGUAACGCGUAAGGAACUUGCCCUGCAGACAGGGAUAACAGACGGAAACGACUGAUAACACCUGGUAUUGUCAGGCUGGCGCAUGCCGGCCUGAUGAAAGGAGACGCUGCAGGAGAGCCUUGCGUCCUAUUAGCUAGUUGGUGGGGUAACGGCCCACCAAGGCGAUGAUAGGUAGCCGGCCUGAGAGGGUGAACGGCCACAAGGGGACUGAGAUACGGCCCUUACUCCUACGGGAGGCAGCAGUUGGUAAUAUUGGACAAUGGGGGCAACCCUGAUCCAGCAAUUCUGUGUGCACGAAGAAGGUUUUCGGAUUGUAAAGUGCUUUCAGCAGGGAAGAAGAAAGUGACGGUACCUGCAGAAGAAGCGACGGCUAAAUACGUG
rnacentral:rRNA from 1 species